UUCCUGGCCCGUUUUGCGGGCGGUGUUGGCGUAUGCAAUCUUUCGUACAACUAAACGACUCUCGGCAACGGAUAUCUCGGCUCUUGCAUCGAUGAAGAACGUAGCGAAAUGCGAUACUUGGUGUGAAUUGCAGAAUCCCGUGAACCAUCGAGUCUUUGAACGCAAGUUGCGCCUGAAGCCAUUAGGCCGAAGGCACGUCUGCCUGGGCGUCACGCGUUGCGUCACCCGCUCCCCCGUGCCCAAGCGGCCUUGUUGGGGCGUGGGUGGAUAUUGGCCCCCCGUUCACGUUUGGUGGUCGGUCGGCCUAAAAGAGAGUCCCUAACGACGGACAUCACGACAAGUGGUGGUUGCUAAAUCGUCGCGUCAUGUUGUGGAUGGCCAUUGUCUGUUGCGGGUUGGCUCGUUGACCCUGAAGGUGCCAGUAUCUGCGGCACCUCG
rnacentral:rRNA from 1 species